AAAUUGAAGAGUUUGAUCAUGGCUCAGAUUGAACGCUGGCGGCAGGCCUAACACAUGCAAGUCGAACGGUAACAGGAAGCAGCUUGCUGCUUYGCUGACGAGUGGCGGACGGGUGAGUAAUGUCUGGGAAACUGCCUGAUGGAGGGGGAUAACUACUGGAAACGGUGGCUAAUACCGCAUAACGUCGCAAGACCAAAGAGGGGGACCUUCGGGCCUCUUGCCAUCAGAUGUGCAGAUGUGC
rnacentral:rRNA from 1 species